AAACGACUCUCGGCAACGGAUAUCUCGGCUCACGCAUCGAUGAAGAACGUAGCAAAAUGCGAUACUUGGUGUGAAUUGCAGAAUCCCGUGAACCAUCGAGUUUUUGAACGCAAGUUGCGCCCGAAGCCUUCUGGCCGAGGGCACGCCUGCCUGGGCGUCACG
rnacentral:rRNA from 1 species